UGAGAGCUAGUGUAAUGGUUUGAGUGUUAGACUAGGACUCUGAGAGACCAGAGUUCGAAUCCCUGCUAUUUAU